UACGGAGGAUGCAAGCGUAUCCGGGAUGGUUGGGCGUAAAGCGGCCGCAGGGGGCAAUGUAAGGUUGCUGUUUAAAGAGUCUAGCUCAACUAGAUAAAAGCAGUGGAAACUACAUAGCUAGAGUACGUUCGGGGCAGAGGGAAUUCCUGGUGUAGCGGUGAAAUGCGUAGAGAUCAGGAAGAACACCAAUUGCGAAGGCAGCUUGCUACACGGUAAUUGACACUGAGGCACGAAAGCGUGGGGAGCAAACAGG
rnacentral:rRNA from 1 species